UUAGUGUGUUUCUCUUUGGGCCACACUUUAUUAUUGUCAUCUUUUAUCAGUUAUUACAUCAUGCUUAUCAAGUAGGCAAUUUUAUUUCUUAUUAUUAGGGACAAAUUCCUCAUCAUCUUCUAGUCAUGGGGAAUGGAGUACGGUAUGGAUAGAAAAAUUUUUGGUACAUGUUUUGUUCUUUUUUCAAUACAAUAAGUCUGUCUUUCCAAAAAUGAAAGGAAUCAAAGAAAAUAGGAGUUGAACCAGUUGAAAUUCCUGAAUAAAGUUCCAACUUAUUUCUAACGGAUCCACUGUUAUCCAAACAUGAACAUUCUUACAUGUACAAUGCUUACAAAGAAAAUGCUUGGGUGAGCAAAUGGUAGUUUACAGGCUGUAGACCAUUCCAUGCACUACUAUUUGAAGAGGUUUGAGAUAGGAACCCAUUUCAUUGUUCAGAAGUAAGUCUUCUAGUGAUGAUCCUUUGGCAGCAUAACAGUUUCUACAAAAAAAGUGGCUGCACGACUGAGAUGUAACUCUGGCUACUGAAGAAUAUACCACAAGUAUGUCAUAAUUAUCUCCUUUAUUUUCCUCUUCCUUGGACAAAGAGUAGCAUAAAUGGAAUACAAAUUUGGAGGUGACAUUUGCUGGCAAUUUACUUUUAUAAGUUCUCAAAGUUCGAGAAAAUGUCCAUCUAACUCCUUUGGUUUAUAUUUGUUCGCGAUGGCAUUGCUAAAAAUACGAGCCGCCAAAAGAAUUUGUGCCACUUCCAACAAUAUUUUCGCCAGGAAAACGAAGAGAUAAAACUAGUUGCUGAACGCAAGAGUGCUAUACGCUCUCUCGAUUCACAAGUACCACAAAUAAGGGCAAGUUAGUUAGGGUCAAAAACUGCUUAGAAUGUCAAUAGCAGGAUUUCUCUGAGUGUUUUGAAGUGAAGUGAAAAUUUAUAACGCAUUUUUUUUUCUAAUUCAUGUGUUUUUUUGUUUUACAGAUUAAUGUUCAUAAUGAAUUUGAAGAGGAUUCCCACUGAUGCCAAUCAUAUCAGGAAUAAUAAAGAUGGGAGGCAUGGCUGUUAAUUACCAUAAUUUGCUAAUCUUCUACUACGUCGUGGUAUUUCUUGUAAACAAAUUAAAGUGCAUAUCUGGGCUCCCUUCUUUUCUGUGGCCCCGUUUCCCCUUGACUUGUGAUAAGCCCGUAGUGGGUCAUGCCGCUACUGUGAUCAGCAGAGAAGGUUGUGAGUGCGCUGUCCGGAAAGGGGACGUGGGGGUCCCCAUGGUUCUGUGAUAUCAUUGGAGGGCUGUGGGGCUACCCACAAAUCCGAAUUAACGGUUAAUCGCUCACGUUAAAACUUGUCCUUCGAAUUCAUCACUCUUCUCUUCUUCCGGCUUCUCUUAGCCACGCCCCGGGUAAUCUCCCCGGGGGUCCAAUUGAGGCAGUGUUUACCUGCACUGGUUUCUGGUAUGCACGUAAAAUAUGUGGAGAAUUUUAAAUAAAAUUGUCUUCAACAAA